rnacentral:rRNA from 1 species
GCUUGUCUCAAAGAUUAAGCCAUGCAUGUCUAAGUGUAAAUACGUCUACACUGUGAAACUGCGAAUGGCUCAUUAAAUCAGUUAUCGUUUAUUUGAUGAUGGUCUACAUGGAUAACCGUAGUAAUUCUAGAGCUAAUACAUGCUGUAAGCCUGACUUUAUGGGAAGGUUGUAUUUAUUAGAUCCCAAACCGAUAGCUUCGGCUAUUGUGACGAAUCAUAAUAACUUGUCGGAUCGGGUAUUACUCGAUGGAUCAUUCAAGUUUCUGCCCUAUCAGCUUUCGAUGGUAGUGUAUUGGACUACCAUGGCGAUAACGGGUAACGGGGAAUUAGGGUUCGAUUCCGGAGAGGGAGCCUGAGAAACGGCUACCACAUCCAAGGAAGGCAGC